GGAAAGCUCAGUGGUAGGGCGCAUGCUUAGAAUGUAUGAGGGCCUGGGUUCAAUCCCCAGGACCUCCA
rnacentral:tRNA from 1 species